GAGUAACGCGUGAGAACCUGCCUUCAGAAUGGGGACAACAGUUGGAAACGACUGCUAAUACCCAAUGUGCCGAAAGGUGAAAGAUUUAUCGUCUGAAGAUGGGCUCGCGUCUGAUUAGCUAGAUGGUGGGGUAAGAGCCUACCAUGGCAACGAUCAGUAGCUGGUCUGAGAGGAUGAGCAGCCACACUGGGACUGAGACACGGCCCAGACUCCUACGGGAGGCAGCAGUGGGGAAUUUUCCGCAAUGGGCGAAAGCCUGACGGAGCAAUACCGCGUGAGGGAGGAAGGUCCUUGGAUUGUAAACCUCUUUUAUCAGGGAAGAAGUUCUGACGGUACCUGAUGAAUAAGCAUCGGCUAACUCCGUGCCAGCAGCCGCGGUAAUACGGAGGAUGCAAGCGUUAUCCGGAAUUAUUGGGCGUAAAGCGUCCGUAGGUGGUUUUUCAAGUCUGCUGUUAAAGAAUGGAGCUUAACUCCAUAGGAGCGGUGGAAACUGAGAGACUAGAGUACAGUAGGGGUAGCAGGAAUUCCCAGUGUAGCGGUGAAAUGCGUAGAUAUUGGGAAGAACAUCGGUGGCGAAAGCGUGCUACUGGCUGAAACUGACACUGAG
rnacentral:rRNA from 1 species